rnacentral:lncRNA from 1 species
UCUGGCUUCUUUAAGAACUCCACAACCUCCAUGAAGUCCUGCUUUGCUUCAUCAACUCCAGCAACAUCAUCGAAUGUUACACCGGUGUUAGGUUCCAUUUGAAACUUUGCUUUCGAUUGACCAAAAGCAAGGGGAAAACCAGGCCCACCCGGACCUCCCAUUCCACCAGACGAUCUCCUUGAAAGAAGGAACAACCCUCCAAUCAAGAUUAAUGGGAAUGCUAGAUUGCCAAUCAAGUUAAAUAACAACGAACCGGAGUCUUCUUGAGCAUUAUGGGCAGCAAAGUCAAUGUUCUUCUCCCUAAACUUCUGAAGAAGU